rnacentral:SRP_RNA from 1 species
CGCGGCCACCUCGCACAUGCCUCACUUCAGUCCGGAGCAGCACACGACCGCCGACGUCGUUCGGCAGGCCAUCAUACCGGCCUCUGCCGCUGAGGCCCGCGCCUACGCUGAGGUGCUUCCAGGCGGGCCCCUGCGGCCAGACCGGAUGGUGACCCAUGCUUGGGGUGGCCUC